UGACAAUUCCCAUUACAGGUUUCAGGGUGU
rnacentral:piRNA from 2 species